GCUUAUUUAGUUUAUUAGAAUAAGGAAUUGUAAAUUCCUAGGUAAGUUAAGUAUUUAUGAGGCU
rnacentral:tRNA from 1 species